ACUGUUAACAGUUGUCAUUGCCUACCAAACUCAUGGAUUUCCAUCAGCAGUUUCUAAAAUUUAUGCUAAUAAGAUUAAUAUCCUGGAUUUAAUGAAACAGUGUCUAUAGAGAGAUCUGAGAUCUGGCAUAAGAUCUGAGAAAUAGGUCCCUGUACUUUUGGAAAUUCUAAGGAUCUCCUUUCAACACCAGUAUUUUCUGUGGUUACAGAAGCAUCUUCAGUCAGUUGUCACAAGAGUCUGACAUCUGUUUUUCUUGAAAAAUACUUUACUACUCCUGAAGGAGGAAGCUGUCCUAUUACACAGUAAGCCAUAUUUUGAUAAGGCCCUCAGUGCUAAAUUGAAGAGAAACAGAGAUCACAGGAGGUUGUCAAUUUGGUUCGAGUUUUCAUCAGAGUUGGAUUAACAGCUGGAAGAAGAGUUGUCUCAUCUAAACAUUCACCAGGGGGCAAUGAGAAAAAUCUAUUAAAUUUGACAUAGGACAAUGACCUGCAGAAGGAGAUAUCAGGGAAAGCAAAUAAUCUGACUGAUGGGAAUAUUUAAAGGUUAACAUUCAGAGUGGAACAACAGGUCAAGGAUGACUAUUUGUGCCCCAAGCUCUUGCAUAUUGCUUUCUUUUGGAUCUUUGACCAGGAAAAUAAGUGACUUCCAGAGGAUGCCUUGUGAACUCGGUAUAUUGCAUGGAUCUGGAGUAGACUAUGAAUGUGUUCAACAUCUUGGUUAUGGUAUGAAGAAAUGUGGCUAGCCAAAAUCCUUGACAUGAUUUUACUACCUAAAAAGAUGGAAAUGUUACUAUCAAGUAACUGCUUUGAUCAUGACACUGGUCACAUAUCACAAACUUCUGACACAAUAAACUACAACAAAAAUGUAUGCAAGCAAGUGUAUUUGCAAACUAAAAACAAGUUAGUAAAGAUUGACCCAGAUAAAGUGGUAAUUCACUACCAGGUCACAGGAAGAGUGAGAGCUGAACCAUGACCAAUUAUCUUACAGGGAAAAAUAAAGGAUUACAUGAGAAUAUGACAGCUUUUUCAAAGAGACAUAUAUGACAGUGUCUGGGCCUCCAAAGAAGAUAGGUACAUGAAAAAUGAUAGAUAGAUAGAUAGAUAGAUAGAUAGAUAGAUAGAUAGAUAGAUAGAUAAUAGACAAUUUAAGUUGUAAAUUCUUAGCUUAAUUUAAAUAAGUACUCUUAGAUAUAACAUGAAGAGUCAACAGGAUUGUGACAGACACUCUUGGCUCCCUUCCUCCCAGGAAUAUGCCAAACGUAUAGCUACAUGAGAUGGAAUUCCUUCUGAAAGAGAUUCUAGGAUCUAACUGAGCCCCUCCUAUACAUCCCAUGAAUGAGAAAAAUUGCUCAUCUGGAAAAGUAGGAAAGACUGAGACACAACUUUCCAUAAACCCCAGAGCUGACACAGUGCUGUGUCACUGGGAGGGAACUCCUUGUUCCUAGCUUCUCCUUAAUGAGUAGAUGAUUUGGACUCCAUAUCCAGGCUUCAACUUUUAAGACUCUCAAUGAGGGGACAGGCUCCCAAAACACCUAGUUCAACAUCACUAAUCACCAGGGAAACACAAAUAAAAAUCUACAAUAAGACAUCACUUCAUACUGGCUAAGAAUGGCUAUUAUCAAAAAGAUAAGAGAUAAUAAAUGCUAGUGAGGAUGUAGAAAAGGGAAUACUUUUAUAGUGGGAGAUUGACACAGUCACUAUGAAAAAUAGCAUGGAAGUUCCUAAAGAAAUAGAACUACCAUAUGAUUCAGCAACCUCACUUCUGGGUAGCCAAAGGCAAUAAAAUCAGUAUCUACAAGAAAUACCAGCAUUCCUAUAUUCAUUGCAACACUAUGCACAAUAGCCAAUAUAUGGAAACAAUCUAAGUGUCCAUCUAUGGAUAAAUGGAUAAAUAAAGUGUAUAAAUAUACAAUGGAAUAUUAUUCAGUCAUAAAAAUUAAGUAAGUCUUGCCACUUGCAACAAAAGGAUGGAACUUGAAGAUGUUACACCAAGUUAUGCUAAGUGAAAUAUGCUGGACAGAGAAAUACUAUAUAUACCACAUAGUAUCAUUUAGAUGUAGAAUCUAAAAAAAAAAAAUUAAAAAUAAAUAAGUUCAACUUCUAGAAAGAUGGAGUAGGCCAGAGUCUGGGAGGUAGGGGAAUUAGGGAGAGGUUGUUAAAAAGGUACAAAGUUUUAUUUAUAAAAUGAAUGAAGUCUGAGGAUCUAAUGUAUAAUAUACUGAUUCUAGUUGGUAACAUUAUUUAAUUGAAAUUUGCAAAAAGAAUAGAGCUUAAAUGUUCUCAAAAAUAUUGAUCAAUCUAGGUACUUUUCUUCAAGAAGCCCAAGAAGGAUAGUGGUUGAGUGUGUAUCAUAACCAGGCACUGAGGUAUGUUUGGAGCACUCAUAUAAUGUCUCUAGUCUUGGAGAUAUAAAUGACCCCCUUCAUAAUUUUUUUUUAAUAAAUUCACAGUAUUCCUCAAAACAAAGAUAUCUUCAAUUUUCUGGCCUUGUCCAAUUUACAAUUACUUAAUUUUUAUGAUAUAUUCCUUAAUUUUUAUGACAUGUAGUUUUAGCUCAGAGAAUUGGAUACUGACUUUCCUUAAACAUUGCAUUAUAGAAAAAAUAUUUCAAUAUUGGUCUAAGUUGAAGGCACCCAACAAAUACUGUUGGUCUGCUGCAUGAAGGGAAAGUAAAAUCAAACAAACAAACAAAAAUCACUGCAAAUAUUCCUGUAACCACUCUCCAAUAUUAAAUUUAAUAUCACAGUUCAACUGACAAGCCAUUUUUAUUUACUCAUACCUUAAAUUUUAGUUCUCCAAGUUAGAACUAAAGACAAUACUAAGAAAGUUAAAACAAGUGAAGAUGCAUCACUGUGUUGCACCCAUUAUUUCAAGAGCUUCUAUUCUCUAGUGCAAUGUGGGAAUAAUGCCCUUUUCGAGUGUAUCAAAUGAUCUACACAUUUAAAGGCAAGCAUCUGUUAACAUAAAUAAAAUGCAAAUAAAAGCAUGAAAUAUGUAAGCAUAUGGGAACAACUAUAAAAAGCUUUUCUCUUGAUUUUCAAUAAAUUGUCCAUGGCUCAGCUGCAAACAGAAAGUCUACACCAACUCUUUCUGGAAAUAAACAUAGUUCACUACAUAUCUUAAAAAAUAUUUGAGAAUACACUGAUUGUAAACAUACACAAAAAUAUUUUUAUCAUUAUUUUACCUGAUAUAAAAUAUUUGAUUUUAAUUGUCAUUUGUGUGUUGGCUGACUGUUUGAGGGAGGAGAAAUUGGUGAGCUUGUGUCCAUCUCUAUCAUCAGUAUUUGUCAUUAAUUAACUUCAUAACCCAUAGAGCCUUAUAUCACUUCCUUUCCUUUCCAACUACUUUCCCUGGAAUUAUACAACAACCAGCAUCUUUGAUCUUCAAAUAACUGGAAAACAAGUUCCUUCAAAAGGGACUAAAAUGAAAAAAAUGACACUAUCUUCUUGUAAUUAAGUCUAAUGCAGUUUCUAAGUUGCUCUCAUCUGUCUCUUCUUUAGGGCUAGAGUUAAGAGGACAAUGGUUCACAAUCAAAGUCUU